rnacentral:rRNA from 1 species
CCUGGGGGCUGCAGUGGGGAAUAUUGGACAAUGGGCGCAAGCCUGAUCCAGCAAUGCCGCGUGUGUGAAGAAGGCCUGCGGGUUGUAAAGCACUUUGAGUGGGGAAGAAGGCCUGGGGGUUAAUAGCUUCUGGGAUUGACGUUACCCACAGAACAAGCACCGGCUAACUCCGUGCCAGCAGCCGCGGUAAUACGGAGGGUGCGAGCGUCAAUCGGAAUUACUGGGCGUAAAGGUUGCGUAGGCGGUUGGUGAAAGCCCUGGGCUUAACCUGGGAACUGCAUUGGAUACUGUUUGACUGGAGUGUGGUAGAGGGGUGUGGAAUUUCCGGUGUAGCAGUGAAAUGCGUAGAGAUCGGAAGGAACACCAGUGGCGAAGGCGGCACCCUGGACCGACACUGACGCUGAGGUGCGAAAGCGUGGGGAGCAAACAGGAUUAGAUACCCUUGUAGUC